rnacentral:rRNA from 1 species
UACAGAGGUGGCAAGCGUUGUUCGGAAUUACUGGGCGUAAAGGGCGCGUAGGCGGUUCGUCAAGUCCUGUGUGAAAUCCCCCGGCUCAACUGGGGAACUGCACAGGAAACUAGCGGGCUUGAGUUCGGGAGAGGGAAGCGGAAUUCCGGGUGUAGCGGUGAAAUGCGUAGAUAUCAGGAGGAACACCGGUGGUGUAGACGGCUUGCUGGACCAUGACUGACGCUGAGGCACGAAAGCGUGGGGAGCAAACAGG